rnacentral:tRNA from 1 species
GGGCGGGUAGCUCAGUCGGUAGAGCGCCGGUUUUACACACCGUCGGUCGCAGGUUCGAACCCUGUCCCGCCCA